GACGAACGCUGGCGGCGUGCUUAACACAUGCAAGUCGAACGGAAAGGCCCUGCUUUUGUGGGGUGCUCGAGUGGCGAACGGGUGAGUAACACGUGAGUAACCUGCCCUUGACUUUGGGAUAACUUCAGGAAACUGGGGCUAAUACCGGAUAGGAGCUCCUGCUGCAUGGUGGGGGUUGGAAAGUUUCGGCGGUUGGGGAUGGACUCGCGGCUUAUCAGCUUGUUGGUGGGGUAGUGGCUUACCAAGGCUUUGACGGGUAGCCGGCCUGAGAGGGUGACCGGCCACAUUGGGACUGAGAUACGGCCCAGACUCCUACGGGAGGCAGCAGUGGGGAAUAUUGCACAAUGGGCGGGAGCCUGAUGCAGCAACGCCGCGUGCGGGAUGACGGCCUUCGGGUUGUAAACCGCUUUCGCCUGUGACGAAGCGUGAGUGACGGUAAUGGGUAAAGAAGCACCGGCUAACCACGUG
rnacentral:rRNA from 1 species